GCACAAGCAGCGGAGCGUGUGGUUUAAUUCGUUGCUACACGAAGAACCUUACCUGGGUUUGACAUAUAAGUUGUAGGGAACUGAAAAGGGACCGACCUUCGGGAGCUUAUACAGGUGUUGCAUGGCUGUCGUCAGCUCGUGUCAUGAGAUGUUCGGUUAAGUCCGCUAACGAGCGCAACCCUCGCCGUAUGUUACAAGUGUCAUACGGGACUGCCGGUAAAAGCCGGAGGAAGGUGAGGAUGAUGUCAAGUCAGCAUGACCUUUAUAUCCAGGGCUACACACACGCUACAAUGGUCUGUACAAUUGGUUGCCAAGCCGCGAGGCGGAGCCAAUCCGUAAAGCAGGCCUCAGUUCAGAUUGCAGUCUGCAACUCGACUGCAUGAAGCCGGAGUUGCUAGUAACCGCAGGUCAGCAAUACUGCGGUGAAUACGUUCCCGGGUCUU
rnacentral:rRNA from 1 species